UACAGGGGGAGGGACAGCUGUUGUGAAUUAUUGGGCGUAAAGGGCGCGUAGGCGGCCUUUCAAGUGACGGGUGAAAUCCCUCGGCUUAACCGAGGAACUGCCUGUCAGACUGGAAGGCUUGAGUUCGGGAGAGGGAUGCGGAAUUCCAGGUGUAGCGGUGAAAUGCGUAGAUAUCAGGAGGAAUACCGGUGGCGAAAGCGACUCUCUGGACGGCAACUGACGCUGAGGCACGAAAGCGUGGGGAGCGAACAGG
rnacentral:rRNA from 1 species